GCGGACGUAAUUUAGUGGUAGAAUACAAGACUGUGGAUCUUGUUGCGCGAGUUCGAUUCUCGCCGUUCGCCCCA
rnacentral:tRNA from 1 species